GUUGUCAUAAUAGUAAUCCUGCUCAGUACGAGAGGAACCGCAGGUAUAGACAUUUGAUGUAUGUGCUUGGCUGAGGAGCCAAUGGGGUGAAGCUACCAUCUGUGGGAUUAUAACUGAACGCCGCUAAGGCAGAAUCCCUCCUAAAAGUGACGAU
rnacentral:rRNA from 1 species